UACGGUGACUAUAGCAGUGGUGUUCACCUCUUCCCUUUCCGAACAGAGUCGUUAAGCCCACUCGCGCAGAUGGUACUGCAAUACUAUGUGGGAGAGUAUGUCGUCGCCGAAA
rnacentral:rRNA from 1 species